GUGCUCGCUUCAGCCUCAGCAGCAUAUUUACUAAAACUGGAAAGAUACAGAGAUUAGCAUGGCCCCUGCACAAGGAGGACAGGCAAAUUUGUGAAGUGUUACAUAUUUUU
ensembl:snRNA U6 U6 spliceosomal RNA